rnacentral:rRNA from 1 species
GACGAACGCUGGCGGCGUGCUUAACACAUGCAAGUCGAACGGAAAGGCCCCUUUGGGGGUACUCGAGUGGCGAACGGGUGAGUAACACGUGAGUAACCUGCCCUUGACUUCGGGAUAACUUCAGGAAACUGGGGCUAAUACCGGAUAGGAAUCCUUGCUGCAUGGUGGGGGUUGGAAAGCUUCGGCGGUUUUGGAUGGACUCGCGGCUUAUCAGCUUGUUGGUGGGGUAGUGGCUUACCAAGGCUUUGACGGGUAGCCGGCCUGAGAGGGCGACCGGCCACAUUGGGACUGAGAUACGGCCCAGACUCCGACGGGAGGCAGCAGGGGGGAAUAUUGCACAAUGGGCGGAAGCCUGAUGCAGCAACGCCGCGGGCGGGAUGACGGCCUUCGGGUUGUAAACCGCUUUCAGCAGGGGCGAAGCUUGUGGUGACGGUACCUGCAGAAGAAGCACCGGCUAACUACGUG